rnacentral:rRNA from 1 species
UACGGGGGGGGUAAGCGUUGUUCGGAAUUACUGGGCGUAAAGGGCGCGUAGGCGGCCUGCUAAGUCGAACGUGAAAUCCCCGGGCUCAACCCGGGAACUGCGUCCGAUACUGGCAGGCUUGAAUCCGGGAGAGGGAUGCGGAAUUCCAGGUGUAGCGGUGAAAUGCGUAGAUAUCUGGAGGAACACCGGUGGCGAAGGCGGCAUCCUGGACCGGCAUUGACGCUGAGGCGCGAAAGCCAGGGGAGCAAACGGG